rnacentral:lncRNA from 1 species
AAUAAAUGGACUUAGAUUGUCUUUACAGUUAACGUCAGAUGAAACCUCAAAUUCAACAAAAAAAUGAUGCAUAUGUUUUUAAAUCUAAACGUAUAGUUUUCAUUACAAAACUUAUGUACAGAUGAUUUUGUCUAAAGAAAAUUUUUCCACAUUUAGAAGAAGUUCACUUUUUUUAAUUGCUUGCCUCCAGGAAGCAGUUCGCCGACAAA